UACGUAGGGUGCAAGCGUUGUCCGGAAUUAUUGGGCGUAAAGGGCUCGUAGGCGGUCUGUUGCGUCAGGAGUGAAAACUCGGGGCUUAACCCCGAGCCUGCUUCUGAUACGGGCAGACUAGAGGUAUGCAGGGGAGAACGGAAUUCCUGGUGUAGCGGUGAAAUGCGUAGAUAUCAGGAGGAACACCGGUGGCGAAGGCGGUUCUCUGGGCAUUACCUGACGCUGAGGAGCGAAAGUGUGGGGAGCGAACAGG
rnacentral:rRNA from 1 species